rnacentral:rRNA from 1 species
AUGAAGAAGUUCGUGAAUCAUUGUCGCAAGCUGGUAGGGCUGCUUUGGUGUGCUGGAGCUGGGUCGGUUGAAGCUCAUCAGCCUGUAGCCACACAGGGUCACAUCGCCUUAUCGAGCCAUGCUCCCUCGUCGUCUAGGUUGGUUGAGGAGGAGGAGGAGGAGGAGGAGGAGAAGGCCACACAUGAAGAAAGGGAGGAGGAGGAUGAGAGUAACGGGGAGGAGGACUACGAUGAAGAUUGUGGACCUCCAACAACUCAACAUCUCAAGCACCUCAGCUGCCGAAGAGGAAUCCGAAGAAGAAGGAUUUGCUGA